rnacentral:rRNA from 1 species
GAUGAACGCUGGCGGCGUGCCUAAUACAUGCAAGUCGAGCGAACAGACGAGGCGCUUGCUCCUCUGACGUUAGCGGCGGACGUGUGAGUAACACGUGGAUCCCCUACCUAUAAUACUGGUAUAUUUUCGGGAAACCGGGUCUAAUACCGGAUAAUCUAUUGAACCGUAUGGUUCAAUAGUGAAAGACGGUUUUGCUGUCACUUAUCGAUGGAUCCCCGCCGCAUUAGCUAGUUGGUAAGGUAACGGCUUACCAAGGCGACGAUGCGUAGGCGACCUGUGAGAGUGAUCGGCCACACUGGAACUGAGACACGGUCCAGACUCCUACGGGAGGCAGCAGUAGGGAAUCUUCGGCAAUGGUCGGAAGCCUGACGGAGCAGCGGCGCGUGAGUGAUAGAGGUCUUCGGAUCGUAAAACUCUGUUAUUAGGGAAGAACAAAUGUGUAAGUAACUAUGCACGUCUUGACGGUACCGAAUCAGAAAGCCACGGCUAACUACGUG